GAUUAACGCUAGCGGCAGGCAUAAUACAUGCAAGUUGAACGGCAGCACAGGUAGCAAUACUGGGUGGCGAGUGGCGCACGGGUGCGUAACACGUAUGCAACCUACCCUAUACAGGCGAAUAACCUUUAGAAAUGAGGGCUAAUACGCCGUAGUAUUACAGAUGGGCAUCUAUUUGUAAUUAAAGAUUUAUCGGUAUAGGAUGGGCAUGCGUCCCAUUAGUUAGUUGGUAAGGUAACGGCUUACCAAGACGAUGAUGGGUAGGGGAUCUGAGAGGACUUACCCCCACACGGGUACUGAGACACGGACCAGACUCCUACGGGAGGCAGCAGUAAGGAAUAUUGGGCAAUGGCCGCGAGGCUGACCCAGCCAUGCCGCGUGCAGGAAGACGGCCUUAUGGGUUGUAAACUACUUUUAUACGGGAAUAAUAGAGUGUACGCGUACAUUUAUGCAAGUAUCGUAUGAAUAAGCAUCGGCUAACUCCGUG
rnacentral:rRNA from 1 species